rnacentral:rRNA from 1 species
AGAGAGAGACAUGCGCGCAUAUCAAUAAGCGGAGGAAAAGAAACUAACAAGGAUUCCCCUAGUAACGGCGAGUGAAGCGGGAAGAGCUCAAAUUUGAAAUCUUAAAGGGUUUCCCUUUACGAAUUGUAGUUUAAAGAAGUGUUUUCUGUUGAGGUUUUGGUAAAAGUUCUUUGGAAUAGGACAUCAUAGAGGGUGAGAAUCCCGUAUUUGACCUUUACUUUCAACUUUGUGAUACACUUUCAAAGAGUCGGAUUGUUUGGGAAUGCAGUCCAAAAUGGGUGGUAAAUUUCAUCUAAAGCUAAAUAUUGGCGAGAGACCGAUAGCGAACAAGUACCGUGAGGGAAAGAUGGAAAAGAACUUUGAAAAGAGAGUUAAACAGUACGUGAAAUUGUCAAAAGGGAAGCGUUUGACACCAGUGUUGUUUUUCUGAAAAUCAAUUAAAGAACUGUUUAUGCUAAGUUGUUUAGACUUUAUCAGCUAUCUGCUUUAGUUUUGAGCUUUUCUUUAAUGCACUUUUCAGUUAACAAGUCAACAUCAAUUUCUUUUGCUGUAAAAAAGCUUGAGGAAGGUGGCUUGAGAUUCGUCUUAAGUGUUUAUAGCCUCUUGCCUAUGCAGUCGGAGAGAUUGAGGUCUGCAGCGUAGAUCCUUCGGGGCUAAAUGCAUUUGUGCUAAGUUAUAGCAUUUUAUAGACAACUUGUUGACUAUGAUUUGUCUUGUAGCUUACUCGCUUAUGUUAUUUUACCUACGCUUAGGAUGUUGAGCGCAUGUCUCUCUCU